GAAGUCCAAAACAAGAUUCUGUGCAAAGAAAUCAGCACAGAGUCCUUCUGUGAUAAAGGCUUUAGUGGAGGGAGGUGGCUACAGUCUCGUGGUCCAAACCCCAAAGAAUUUUUUUAUUUUCAUGUCCUUGGCUUCAGGGACAGUGCUGUGUGAGCAAGGACUAGAAAAAGAAUCAGAACAUUACGAGCCUUCCCCGCAGUUGAAGUACCCAGUUGGACAGCAGAGGGGGUAAUUCUGUACACCCAAGGAAAAGCCAUUCCAUCAGCAAAAGGAAGGCCUGGGAUGAAGCUGUGGAGACUGACAUGAAAGGAACAGACCGAUAUGCAGUGAUGGCUGCUGUCAGUGAGACACCACAGAGCACAGAUCAGCAUUGCAACAACAUGAAAGGAGAGAAGAGUCAUGAGCCAUCCCCCAGAAAAACAUACUGAAGCAGUAACAGGGACUUCAAAGAAUGAACACUGCUCCUUUUGGGCCUCUGCACAGCAAAGAUGAAGUUAUUGCUGUGAUUUCAAACAAUUAUAGGGAGAGGGAAGAACUUUCUGGUCUCUGAAGAGAGUGAACCAAGAGGCAUCAAUGGAGGUGUUGACUAAUACUUUUAAAGCAUCCCCUAUGUCUAACACGAUCCACAAGGAAAGGAACUUCAAUCAGCUCUUCAAAAGCUCUCCAUAGUCUCUCUCACAUCUCUCAAACUUUCAGUAAAUUGCUUAAUUUUUCUGGAACUUACACAGGCAUUUGAAAAUGUUUAGUAAUUUGAGAAAAGGAAACUACUAUGAACAUAACAAGACUGAACUUCUGUUUUACUAAACUACUGGUUAGUAGCUACAGUGAGUUUAUGCAGUUGGAUAUUGUCAAACACUAAGAAAUACCUACCAGGCCAAUAUGAUGGCUCACUGGUUUUUAGAACACAUCUUGCCUCAACUGCUGAGAGAACAUUAGUAAAGCCACAGUAAGCACACAUCCUCCUGCACUGCAUGAAAAGCUACAGCUAAAGCAAAGCUUUAUUUGUAAAGCAGACAGGUGAAGUAAAUAACAGAGAAAGUCUGUUAGUAGCUCAGCUUUAUCAGAAUUUUAAACUGAUAAAUCAUCCCUUGCUUAGCUAAGAACAACCAACACAUACUGCCAGGAAGGCAAACACAACCUCUUUUAGCUCCGGGAGCUCAAGUGACAAAAAUUUCUGUUCCUUUUAAUUGAGAGAUACAUAGAGGGGUAAUGAGGAAGUUUGAAACAUCUAUUCCUCGGGGACAUUGAUAAAAAAAGCAACUAAACUUGGGACUAAAUACUAGGAACAAUGUAACAAAAAUUGUAAAAUUCUGUUGAUCUGUUAACUCUCUUCAAGAAACAUAUUUAAUGUGUCAGGGAUGUAGCAAGUUACGCCUGAGAGCACUAUCAUUCACCAGUUCCCAUGAAAAUUUUGCAGAAAUCAGAUCUCAAAAUCUUUGAGCAAUCAAAAGACUUUUAAGUUGGCCCUUAAUUCUAAUUCAAAUGCUUAUGUCUACAUAAUUAAUUCAGACAGCAAGAAUAGGUGAUUAAAUCUUCAUACCUAAAGAAAAAGUCAGACAUGACUGCUCCUUGGAUAUCACUUAUUAAUCUUUGGAAACCAGAUUUGGAUCUCAUAAAAGAAGAUGAGUUAUUCUGAUAUGGAUUUCAUGGAGCUGCAGCAAUGCAGCUUUGACAGUCACCCCUCCUCCGAGUUUACACCUCUUCACAGCACAAAUGACAGAUUGCUGCACCCAGCCUCAGGAAAGGAACUCACUGUUUCACAUUCCACAACCUGGCUCCUUAUUGUUAAGUCUUUAUCAAAAGCAAGAAACCUAUGAAUAAAUUAUGUUAUGAACAGAAGUUUUGGCAAGACAAAGACGACACUUCACGCAGCAGUUAAUAUAAAGAGAGGAUAAUAGUCCUGCCAAAGACAAUAAAUACUAGAAGAAAUGGCUUUCAGUUUUAGAGGCCCUGAGCAAUAUUGCUGGUGUUCAUUUUAAGAUCUGCUUCUUCUACAACACAAUUCCCUUAAGAUUGUUCUUAAAUGUGAAAAGGAUGGAUGUUUUUGUUUUGGGAUCAUUCACAAUGUUGGAAUUGCAAACCACAGGCUUGAACUGAGGUGAGAGUUAACAUCACUUUGCCACUAAUUUCUUUCAACUGCAUCCUUCUCUUUUGUGAUCUCCCUUCCCCCGACUAAAAAAUCUCCAGGCAUUACUAUCGAAAAUAUACUCAUGUAAUAAAUCAUGUAUUUGCUCUCA